GCCCUCAUUUAAUAUAUUACCAGAGACUUGAGAUUCCAGAUUUAAUCACCGCGAGGAUUUGAGUAUAUCUACCGACCUUGAUCUGAAACAUCAUUUUUCGCAGACAAUCUCACAAAUAAAUCGUAUCGAUAUCGACCGAAGGAAGAGACGUCGUGUAGGAAAUCACAGAAGCAGAGAGGGAGGUAAGAUAAGAGGAGAUGGACAGGCCCAACAAAUCAUAUCCUGGGGGCGGUUACCAAGGCCCCAACCCCGCACCUCAUCAUUAUGGCUCAAUGGAAGGGACGGGGCAGGUUAACAACUCUGAUUGUACAGCAAGCACUAGUCCUGCUCAAAUCAUUCCAAUCGAGGUUGAAGAUGAACUCAAUGAGAACAUCUACAAAAUGUCUCCUCAUGUUCCGAUCUCGCAUGAUGAUACCUUUAAGGAAUCGAGUGCCAUUCAGGGAUUCGCCUUCAUGAAAACAGGUAGCCGAUUAAUCUAUGAAUAC